UUCCGCUGCCCUCCUUGGGCGUUUCCUCCCUAGACUUGGGCCGUUCGUUCAAUCGAGCGGCCCUUUUUUUGCGCUGA
rnacentral:sRNA from 1 species